AUUGAACGCUGGCGGCAGGCUUAACACAUGCAAGUCGAGCGAGCGGCAGACGGGUGAGUAAUGUCUGGACAACUGCCUGAAGGAGGGGGAUAACUCCUGGAAACGGUAGCUAAUACCGCAUACCAGCAGAUGUGACCAGAUGGGAGUAGCUAGUAGGUGGGGUAAUGGCUCACAUAGGCGACGAUCCCUAGCUGGUCUGAGAGGCAGAGCAGCCACACUGGAACGUAGACACGGUCCAGACCCCUACGGGAGGCAGCAGUGGGGAAUAUUGCACAAUGGGCGCAAGCCUGAUGCAGCCAUGCCGCGUGUGUGAAGAAGGCCUUCGGGUUGUAAAGCACUUUCAGCGAGGAGGCGUUACUCGCAGAAGAAGCACCGGCUAACUCCGUGCCAGCAGCCGCGGUAAUAC
rnacentral:rRNA from 1 species